rnacentral:rRNA from 1 species
ACUCCUACGGGAGGCAGCAGUGGGGAAUAUUGCACAAUGGGCGCAAGCCUGAUGCAGCCAUGCCGCGUGUAUGAAGAAGGCCUUCGGGUUGUAAAGUACUUUCAGCAGUGAGGAAGGCGGGUACGUUAAUAGCGUGCUCGUUUGACGUUAGCUGCAGAAGAAGCACCGGCUAACUCCGUGCCAGCAGCCGCGGUAAUACGGAGGGUGCGAGCGUUAUCCGGAUUUAUUGGGUUUAAAGGGUCCGUAGGCGGAUUAAUAAGUCAGUGGUGAAAUCCCAUCGCUUAACGAUGGAACUGCCAUUGAUACUGUUAGUCUUGAAUGAGGGUGCAGUGGUUGGAAUGUGUAGUGUAGCGGUGAAAUGCAUAGAUAUUACACAGAACACCGAUUGCGAAGGCAGAUCACUAACCCUAAAUUGACGCUGAGGGACGAAAGCGUGGGGAGCGAACAGGAUUAGAUACCCUGUAGGUGACAAU